GAUCCUGGCUCAGGAUGAACGCUGGCGGCGUGCUUAACACAUGCAAGUCGAACGAAGCACUUUUACAGAUUUCUUCGGAAUGAAGUUUUAGUGACUGAGUGGCGGACGGGUGAGUAACGCGUGGGUAACCUGCCUCACACAGGGGGAUAACAGUUAAAAAUGACUGCUAAUACCGCAUAAGGCCACAGCACCGCAUGGUGCAGGGGUAAAAACUCCGGUGGUAUGAGAUGGACCCGCGUCUGAUUAGG
rnacentral:rRNA from 1 species